rfam:Gossypium hirsutum cultivar TM-1 chromosome 1, whole genome shotgun sequence
UGUCAAAAAUUUUAUCUGUUGGUAUUGUUAAAAACUGGUGUGGCUAAUGAAUAAUCAAAUAGUAUUACGUGGUGGGCUAUAUGUACCUCAUGCUGAUGUAUAUGAACCAAAUUUUAACAGUACAAAUGGAUGAAUUUUUUAAAA